AUUGAACGCUGGCGGCAGGCUUAACACAUGCAAGUCGAGCGGAGAUGAGGUGCUUGCACCUUAUCUUAGCGGCGGACGGGUGAGUAAUGCUUAGGAAUCUGCCUAUUAGUGGGGGACAACAUUCCGAAAGGAAUGCUGAUACCGCAUACGCCCUACGGGGGAAAGCAGGGGAUCUUCGGACCUUGCGCUAAUAGAUGAGCCUAAGUCGGAUUAGCUAGUUGGUGGGGUAAAGGCCUACCAAGGCGACGAUCUGUAGCGGGUCUGAGAGGAUGAUCCGCCACACUGGGACUGAGACACGGCCCAGACUCCUACGGGAGGCAGCAGUGGGGAAUAUUGGACAAUGGGCGGAAGCCUGAUCCAGCCAUGCCGCGUGUGUGAAGAAGGCCUUUUGGUUGUAAAGCACUUUAAGCGAGGAGGAGGCUACUUAGAUUAAUACUCUAGGAUAGUGGACGUUACUCGCAGAAUAAGCACCGGCUAACUCUGUGCCAGCAGCCGCGGUAAAAC
rnacentral:rRNA from 1 species